rnacentral:lncRNA from 1 species
UAUCUCCCCAUAUGUGUAUAUACACACCACAUAUAUACAUCAUGGAGCCAUAUAUGUAUACAUACGUAUAUGUGUGUGUACAAUAAAUUUGGAGGGCUAGGCGCAGUGGCUCACACCUGUAAUCCCAGCACUUUGGGAGGCCGAGGCGGGGGGAUCACCUGAGGUUGGGAGUUUGAGACCAGCCUGACCAACAUGGGAAACCCCAUCUCUACUAAAAAUACAAAAUUAGCUGGGCGUGGUGGCACAUGCCUGUAAUCCCAGCUACUUGGGAGGCUGAGGCAAGAGAAUCGCUUGAACCUGGGAGGUGGAGGUUGCAGUGAGCCAAGAUCACGCCGUUGCACUCCAGCCUGGGCAACAAGAGUGAAACUCCAUCUCAAAAAAAAAAAAAAAAAAAAAGAUUUGAGCAAAGACAUGCAAAGUCACCUUUAAAAAAGGCAGGUCCCCCAGCAGCCCAUUUUUUUUUUCCUCCCAUCACAUUUAAGUCAUGUGUAUGGGAUCAUGAAGGAGGUGAUAAUUUGGGGUUUUGUCAGUGUAUGUUUCUGAGAGUGAAUGGUUCACAGCUGACGAGUAUCCAACAGAACCAGUUACACAGGAGAUUGAGGAGUGGCUGUCAUGGCUGUGACAGUGCAUGAUCUCAAGUUUUCAAUCUGAGACCUCCUAAGGAAAAAAGGAAAAAAAAAAAAAAAAAGGCAGGCCUCAAGCCAAGACUUGACUUCAAAUUGACUGAAGUAUAACAUAAUUGUAGAAAUAACAGCUCAUUGCGGUUGGAGGGUGAGGAGGAGGUUGGUCAGCCAUAAAAACAUAAUUUUUGUAAUUUUUUGUAGAGACAGGAUUUUACCAUAUUGCUCAGGCUGGUCUCAAACUCCUGGGCCUAAGCAAUCCACCUGUGUCGGCCUCCCAAAGUGCUAGGAUUACAGGCAUGAGCCACCAUGCCCAGCCUAUAUGUAUGUUUUAAAGUGUGGUUCUCAGACAGCAAUUUUAUUUCUCUAUUUCCAGAGAUUUUUCAGGGCGAUUUUAUGAUUAACUCCAUAUACAGCUUAAUAUGUCAAAAAGACCUGACUUAAAUUUUUUUCUUGAAACAGCCUUUAACAUAUGUCAAAAAUAUAAUAUAUUCCUGAUACUUGUGUCCAAGCAGAUAUAAGUUCUAAAUAGGGCAAAGGAUCUAAUGAAUGCUUGAUGUCCUCAAAUGUGCUAUGAUUUACCAUCUGUCAAGAUGAAAAUACACCCAUGUAUAUGCAGCUAUUUAAAGUAUCAUAGGCUGGGUGCAGUGGCUCACACCUAUAAUCCCAGUACUUUGGAAGGCUGAGGUGGGUGGAUCACUUGAGG